rnacentral:rRNA from 1 species
UACGUAGGUGGCAAGCGUUAUCCGGAUUUAUUGGGUGUAAAGGGCGUGUAGGCGGGAGCGCAAGUCAGAUGUGAAAACUCAGGGCUCAACCCCUGAACUGCAUUUGAAACUGUCGUUCUUGAGUACUGGAGAGGUUGACGGAAUUCCUAGUGUAGCGGUGAAAUGCGUAGAUAUUAGGAGGAACACCAGUGGCGAAGGCGGUCAACUGGACAGCAACUGACGCUGAGGCGCGAAAGCGUGGGGAGCAAACAGG